CAACAGUUUUUUGAUUAGACCUUUAAUUUGAUUUAUAGAUUUUAACUUUGUUUAAAAUCUUAAAUUAUUUUAAUGUUUUAACAUUUUAAUUUUGUUUUAAUUUGUGUUGUUUUAUAGUAAACCGCCCAUAGGCUCAUGUUUUUGACAGUAUAUAAAUAUGUUAAAUAAAUAAAUAAAGCUUUGGCCUCAGGAAGCCACUGGUAAGUCUCUGGAGAAUGGAGGAAUAAAUAGGGCCACUCUACAUUUGUCUUUUUAUUCCCUCUCAGCUCCAGAUAUUGCCCAGCUUUCUUUCUUUUCUCCUACAGAGUUCCAAGGGUCAGAUGAAAGGAAGACACCCUCAGGGAGAAUGGCCACAGCCUGCAGGGGCUGCAGCUGCUCUAGGGCCUGCAGAUUGGCCUCAGCCUUUUCAGUCUCCUCCUUCAAGAAGCCCCCAACCAAAGCAGACGUUGGGUUCUAAUUGCCAGAUGGAAGAAAGAUGACUUGAAGGGAAAUAACUACAGAUUGCAAGAGCUGUCACUGCUCCAACAUUUACUGCUUGGCCUCAAGCAUUUCAGCCCCCUUCUUCAGGAAACCCCCUCCCAAGACAGAAGUUGAGUUCCCAAGUCCAGAUGGGAGAAAGAAACCUUGAAGCAGAAUGGACACAGACUG